UGAAAUGAAUCGAUUUUGGAUUGCCAAAUGGCUGCUUCUUUGUUCUUUGCGGGUAGAGAAGGGAAAUCAAUCACCAAGGGAAACUUCUUUCUUUUGUUUCCAAGAACAAAAACAAAAAUCAACAAGAACAAAGUAUUGGGUUAUUGAUAAAAGUUAGCUUUCUUUUCUUCUUCUUAUUCUUCUCCUCCUCCUUUUUCUUGUUCUCCUAUUAUGGGAUCUAUCCAUCCAAUCUUUUUUCUCUCUUUUUUUAUCUCUCACAAGGUAUAUGUGUAUGUGUAAGUAUCUCUGUGAAACACACAAAAAGCUGAAAGCUAGAAAAGAAUUCAACGUGAAAAGGAAAGAUCAGAUCCCCUCCUUCACGAUCACAACAGCCAACCAAUUUCUCUCUCUAUCUCUCCUCUGUUUCUCUCUUUCUUUCCUC
rnacentral:misc_RNA from 1 species